UACGGAGGGUGCGAGCGUUAAUCGGAAUUACUGGGCGUAAAGCGCACGCAGGCGGUUUGUUAAGCUAGAUGUGGAAGCCCCGGGCUCAACCUGGGAUGGUCAUUUAGAACUGGCAGACUAGAGUCUUGGAGAGGGGAGUGGAAUUCCAGGUGUAGCGGUGAAAUGCGUAGAUAUCUGGAGGAACAUCAGUGGCGAAGGCGACUCCCUGGCCAAAGACUGACGCUCAUGUGCGAAAGUGUGGGUAGCGAACAGG
rnacentral:rRNA from 1 species